ACCGAAUAGAUACCCAGGUAGUCCACGCCGUAAACUAUGAACGCUAGCCGUUGGCGAGCUUGCUCGUCAGUGGCGCAGCUAACGCAUUAAGCGUUCCGCCUGGGGAGUACGGCCGCAAGGUUGAAACUCAAAGAAAUUGACGGGGGCCCGCACAAGCGGUGGAGCAUGUGGUUUAAUUCGACGCAAUGCGCAGAACCUUACCAGGGUUUGACAUCCCGAGACCGCUGCUGAAAGGCAGUUUCCCGCAAGGGCUCGGAGACAGGUGCUGCAUGGCUGUCGUCAGCUCGUGUCGUGAGAUGUUGGGUUAAGUCCCGCAACGAGCGCAACCCUCGCCUUUAGUUGCCAUCAUUAAGUUGGG
rnacentral:rRNA from 1 species